rnacentral:rRNA from 1 species
GUGAGGAAUAUUGCGCAAUGGAGGCAACUCUGACGCAGCCAUGCCGCGUGCAGGAAGAAGGCGCUACGCGUUGUAAACUGCUUUUAACCGGGAAGAAACCCCAGGACGUGUCCUGGGUUGACGGUACCGGAGGAAUAAGCACCGGCUAACUUCGUGCCAGCAGCCGCGGUAAUACGAAGGGUGCAAGCGUUAUCCGGAUUCAUUGGGUUUAAAGGGUGCGUAGGCGGAGCGUUAAGUCAGUGGUGAAAUCCUGCAGCUUAACUGUAGACUUGCCAUUGAGACUGGCGCUCUUGAGUGCGCUUGAAGGGGGCGGAAUGUGCCGUGUAGCGGUGAAAUGCUUAGAUAUGGCACAGAACACCAAUUGCGAAGGCAGCUCACUAAGGCGAUACUGACGCUGAGGCACGAAAGCGUGGGGAUCGAACAGGAUUAGAUACCCGGGUAGUCC